rnacentral:rRNA from 1 species
UACGUAGGGUGCAAGCGUUGUCCGGAAUUAUUGGGCGUAAAGAGCUCGUAGGCGGUCUGUCGCGUCGAAUGUGAAAACCCGGGGCUCAACCCCGGGCCUGCAUUCGAUACGGGCAGACUAGAGUUCGGUAGGGGAGUCUGGAAUUCCUGGUGUAGCGGUGAAAUGCGCAGAUAUCAGGAGGAACACCGGUGGCGAAGGCGGGACUCUGGGCCGAUACUGACGCUGAGGAGCGAAAGCGUGGGGAGCAAGCAGG